rnacentral:rRNA from 1 species
UACGUAGGGUGCGAGCGUUAAUCGGAAUUACUGGGCGUAAAGGGUGCGCAGGCGGUCUCGUAAGCUGGGUGUGAAAGCCCCGGGCUUAACCUGGGAAUGGCAUUCAGGACUGCGAGGCUUUGAGUGUGGCAGAGGGAGGUGGAAUUCCACGUGUAGCAGUGAAAUGCGUAGAGAUAUGGAGGAACACCAGUGGCGAAGGCGACUUUCUGGUCUGUAACUGACACUGAGGCGCGAAAGCGUGGGGAGCAAACAGG